rnacentral:rRNA from 2 species
UACGUAGGGUGCAGGCGUUAAUCGGAAUUACUGGGCGUAAAGCGUGCGCAGGCGGUUUCUUAAGUCAGAUGUGAAAGCCCCGGGCUUAACCUGGGAACUGCGUUUGAAACUGGGAGACUUGAGUGUGGCAGAGGGGGGUGGAAUUCCACGUGUAGCAGUGAAAUGCGUAGAUAUGUGGAGGAACACCAAUGGCGAAGGCAGCCCCCUGGGUUAACACUGACGCUCAUGCACGAAAGCGUGGGGAGCAAACAGG